UGAAAAUAUGCAAUGGUUAAAUCUUUAUGGUAAUUAUGAUGCUUGGUAUAAACAUAUUCGUGACCGUCAUUUUCAGGGUAAUCUUUGGUGUGCAUUUGAAGAAUACAAUGAAGAAGAUUGUCUUAUGUUCAUAGAUAUGUAUGAAGAUGAAAAGAAGCAAUAUUUAGAAUAUUUGCAUCCUAUGUCUUAUGCCAUAGUUAGUAGGCAAGUUGCAAUUGAUCUUCUGUAUGUCCGAAUUUCUAUGAUUGCUUUUGAAAACCUCUCAAAAGAAGCCUUAAAAAAGUGAUCUAUUUAUAUAAUAUGUCUUCAUCUAUUUCUUUUAGUAUUACUACUUCUAGUGGUCUUGUGUUAAAUAAGAUUAAUAGUAAUAAGUUAGAUU
rnacentral:lncRNA from 1 species